AGAACACUAAUGGAGACGGUCUUGAAUUUGACGAUCUUAGGAAAGAAAUACAAGAAUGGAGGCUGAGAUAUAUCGAUGUUGAUUCUUUACUCAGGAAAAUAAAGGCUGACUUAAAGGCCGAUCACCCUCAUAGCGCAGUGGCCGAGUUCAUAUACGAUCAACAUUACGGUCCCUCUCAUG